UACGUAGGGUGCGAGCGUUGUCCGGAAUUAUUGGGCGUAAAGAGCUUGUAGGUGGCUCGUUGCGUCGGGAGUGAAAACCCGUGGCUUAACCACGGGCCUGCUUCCGAUACGGGCGAGCUAGAGUUCGGCAGGGGAGACUGGAAUUCCUGGUGUAGCGGUGGAAUGCGCAGAUAUCAGGAGGAACACCGGUGGCGAAGGCGGGUCUCUGGGCCGAUACUGACGCUGAGGAGCGAAAGCGUGGGGAGCGAACAGG
rnacentral:rRNA from 1 species